CCUACGGGUGGCAGCAGUGGGGAAUCUUCCGCAAUGGGCGAAAGCCUGACGGAGCAACGCCGCGUGAUCGAAUGAAGGCCUUCGGGUUGUAAAGAUCUGUUGACAGGGACGAAUAAGCCAUGCGAAUAGUUUGGUGUAUGACGGUACCUGUUUAGAAAGCUCCGGCUAACUACGUGCCAGCAGCCGCGGUAAUACGUAGGGGGCAAGCGUUAUCCGGAUUUACUGGGGGUAAAGGGAGCGUAGACGGCAGCACAAGUCUGGAGUGAAAUGCCGGGGCUUAACCCCGGAACUGCUUUGGAAACUGUGCAGCUAGAGUGCAGGAGAGGUAAGUGGAAUUCCUAGUGUAGCGGUGAAAUGCGUAGAUAUUAGGAGGAACACCAGUGGCGAAGGCGGCUUACUGGACUGUAACUGACGUUGAGGCUCGAAAGCGUGGGGAGCAAACAGGAUUAGAUACCCCUGUAGUC
rnacentral:rRNA from 1 species